AGCAGCCGCGGUAAUUCCAGCUCCAAUAGCGUAUAUUAAAGUUGUUGCAGUUAAAAAGCUCGUAGUUGAAUUUCGGGAUUAAUAUGCUGGUCGUGCCAUUGGUACGUACUAGUAUUAUUGAUUUCUCCCUUCUGAUGAAUCAUGAUGUCAUUAAUUUGAUGUCAUGGGGAAUCAGGACUGUUACUUUGAAAAAUUAGAGUGUUUAAAGCAGGCUCGCGCUUGAAUACAUUAGCAUGGAAUAAUGAAAUAGGACGUUUGAUUCUAUUUUGUUGGUUUCUAGGAUUGACGUAAUGAUUAAUAGGGAUAGUUGGGGGCAUUAGUAUUCAAUUGUCAGAGGUGAAAUUCUUGGAUUUAUUGAAGACUAACUACUGCGAAAGCAUUUGCCAAGGAUGUUUUCAUUAAUCAAGAACGAAAGUUAGGGGAUCGAAGACGAUCAGAUACCGUCGUAGUCUUAACCAUAAACUAUGCCGACUAGGGAUCGGAUGAUGUUAAUUA
rnacentral:rRNA from 1 species